AUAGGAAAAAGGCAAACUACUCGAAAGUGUAGGACGCAAAGCCUAGGGACUAAGGUAUAUUCAUACUAUGUUCGCCUGGUUGCCAAG
rnacentral:ncRNA from 1 species